rnacentral:lncRNA from 1 species
AUGUAUGUGUGCCAUUCAGCUGGUGAAUGGGCAAGAAGAAAAGGAGUCAGGCUACACCGAUUGUCAAGACCUGCAACGCUUCUGGGUGUGUCAUGCUCAACAGCUUCCUGUGUGUAUCAAGAAUGGUCCACCAACCAAAGGAAGGGUUCAGCCAACUGGACACAACAGUGGGAAGCAUUGGAGUCAACAUGGACCAGCAUCCCUGUGGAACGCUUUCCACACCUUGUAGAGUCAACAUGGACCAGCAUCCCUGUGGAAUGCUUUCUACACCUUGUGGAGUCAACAUGGACCAGCAUCCCUGUGGAAUGCUUUCUACACCUUGUGGAGUCAACAUGGACCAGCAUCCCUGUGGAACGCUUUCUACACCUUGUGGAGUCAACAUGGACCAGCAUCCCUGUGGAAUGCUUUCUACACCUUGUGGAGUCAACAUGGACCAGCAUCCCUGUGGAACGCUUUCUACACCUUGUGGAGUCAACAUGGACCAGCAUCCCUGUGGAAUGCUUUCUACACCUUGUGGAGUCAACAUGGACCAGCAUCCCUGUGGAACGCUUUCUACACCUUGUGGAGUCAACAUGGACCAGCAUCCCUGUGGAAUGCUUUCUACACCUUGUGGAGUCAACAUGGACCAGCAUCCCUGUGGAAUGCUUUCUACACCUUGUGGAGUCAACAUGGACCAGCAUCCCUGUGGAACGCUUUCUACACCUUGUGGAGUCAACAUGGACCAGCAUCCCUGUGGAACGCUUUCCACACCUUGUAGAGUCAACAUGGACCAGCAUCCCUGUGGAAUGCUUUCUACACCUUGUGGAGUCAACAUGGACCAGCAUCCCUGUGGAAUGCUUUCUACACCUUGUGGAGUCAACAUGGACCAGCAUCCCUGUGGAACGCUUUCUACACCUUGUGGAGUCAACAUGGACCAGCAUCCCUGUGGAAUGCUUUCUACACCUUGUGGAGUCAACAUGGACCAGCAUCCCUGUGGAACGCUUUCUACACCUUGUGGAGUCAACAUGGACCAGCAUCCCUGUGGAAUGCUUUCUACACCUUGUGGAGUCAACAUGGACCAGCAUCCCUGUGGAAUGCUUUCUACACCUUGUGGAGUCAACAUGGACCAGCAUCCCUGUGGAACGCUUUCUACACCUUGUGGAGUCAACAUGGACCAGCAUCCCUGUGGAACGCUUUCCACACCUUGUAGAGUCAACAUGGACCAGCAUCCCUGUGGAAUGCUUUCUACACCUUGUGGAGUCAACAUGGACCAGCAUCCCUGUGGAACGCUUUCUACACCUUGUGGAGUCAACAUGGACCAGCAUCCCUGUGGAACGCUUUCUUCACCUUGUAGAGUCCAUUCCCCGACAAACUGAGGAUGUUCUGAGGGCAAAAUGGGGUGCAACUCAAUAUUAG